rnacentral:rRNA from 1 species
CUACGGGUGCUGCAGUGGGGAAUAUUGGACAAUGGGCGAAAGCCUGAUCCAGCCAUGCCGCGUGUGUGAAGAAGGCCUUCGGGUUGUAAAGCACUUUCAGUGGGGAAGAAAGCCUUGGGGCUAAUACCCUCGAGGAAGGACAUCACCCACAGAAGAAGCACCGGCUAACUCCGUGCCAGCAGCCGCGGUAAUACGGAGGGUGCGAGCGUUAAUCGGAAUUACUGGGCGUAAAGCGCGCGUAGGCGGUCUGAUAAGCCGGUUGUGAAAGCCCCGGGCUCAACCUGGGAACGGCAUCCGGAACUGUCAGGCUAGAGUGCAGGAGAGGAAGGUAGAAUUCCCGGUGUAGCGGUGAAAUGCGUAGAGAUCGGGAGGAAUACCAGUGGCGAAGGCGGCCUUCUGGACUGACACUGACGCUGAGGUGCGAAAGCGUGGGUAGCAAACAGGAUUAGAUACCCCAGUAGUC